rnacentral:rRNA from 1 species
GAUCAUGGCUCAGGACGAACGCUGGCGGCGUGCCUAACACAUGCAAGUCGAACGGAGAUAAAGAUUUCGGUUUUUAUCUUAGUGGCGCACGGGUGAGUAACACGUGAAUAACCUGACCCAAAGAGGGGGAUAACACCUGGAAACAGGUGCUAAUACCGCAUAAGACCGCAAUGUCGCAUGACGAAGGGGUCAAAGAAAAUCGCUUUGGGAGGGGUUCGCGUCCCAUUAGGUAGUAGGCGGGGUAACAGCCCACCUAGCCGACG